rfam:Homo sapiens chromosome 11, GRCh38 reference primary assembly.
CAGUAUUUCUGAAAUUCUUUUUUCUGAAAUUCUUCAGGAAGGAUUUCAGAAAUACUGGU